ACAGCCUGUGGCCAAUCGCAACGCCGGAAGGAGCUGAUAGACACGGAGGUUGCUCUGCUCGGAAGAGACCGAGCCCCAGGGCCGCCGUGUCCUCUGGGCGGUUGUGAGGCUGUGCAGCCUGCGGCUUCUGCCCUCUUUCUUUCCCUGACUGGUUGGGUCCGGCCUCCGAGGCCUGUACCCCGCCUUUUCCGAAUAGGCAUGUGACCAGGGUCUCCCGCGGAGUUUUGCUGAGAAUUUUGGAAAUGAAGCAUGUGGAGCGCCUGUGUCGGGUGAAAGAGGCCGAGCUGAAGGAGCACGGGCGCCGGCCUCGGCCUCUGGGGAGCCGUGCCCGCUUGCCUCCCUGCGCGGGGCUAGCCCGAGCCUGGAACUCGGGAGGCCCAGGAGCGAAGUGAAAGCCCCUUCUGGUCCCCUAGGGCUCCACUCCCGCAGCAGCCCGGCUCCGUCGGCGUCAGUGGAGCCCCAGGCCCGGGUCCGAGAUGAGCGAGACGCUGCUCUGGCUCGCGGUCGCCCGAGCGCUCCCAAAACCAGGGAACAGGCCCCAGGAGAGAAGCCCCUAGAAGUUUCCUGGAGCAGGGAGUCUCCUGUUUCCUGUUAGCUCUGCAAAGGAAUCUGGACUUUAUUCUGAGGGCCUUGGAGAACCCCUGCAAAGUUUUUUAAAAGGUGGACUAAGAGAUUGGCAUUUCACAACAUGACUCUCCGAAUUGAAACACUAAUAAGAGAAGAUUGGCGAAAUUUAACAUUUACAGAUUAGUAAUUUAACCCAGGUGACUCGCGAUGAGGGACAUGGCUACCCUUCACUUUUGGAGGGAGUUUUAAGUGAUACAGAUCUUUUUGCCAAGCAAUUUUUUUUUUUUUUUUUUUUGAGGCGGAGCCUCGCUCUGUCGCCCUGGCUGGAGUGCAAUGACGUGAUCUCGGCUCACUGCAACCUCCGCCUCCUGAGUUCAAGCGAUUCUCCUGCCUCAGCCUCCCUAGUAGCUGGGAUUACAGGCGCGCGCCAUCAGGCCCGGCUAAUUUUUUUGUAUUUUUAGUAGAGACGGGGUUUCACCAUGUUGGCCAGGCUGGUCUCGAACUCCUGACCUCAGGUGAUCCGCCUGCCUCGACCUCGCAAAGUGCUGAGAUUAACAGGCGUGAGCCACCGCGCCCAGCAGCAAUUUAAAAAUCUAAUAAAAUUGUGUAUAUCCCCCAAAACAAUAAUGUCACUUGGUUGAUAACCACAUUUGUUUACAAAGGGAUGUGCCAAGACUUUCACUGCAGCUUUGUCAGCAUUGCUAGAAGAUUUAAAACCCGAACACUUAAUGUUCAUCAAUUGAUAAGCUGUUUAACAGUGAUAUACACGUAAUAUAGAAUAUUAUGCAGCAUGCCGAGCGCGGUAGCUCACGCAUGUAAUCCCAGCAUUUUGGGAGGCCGAGGUGGGUGGAUCACCUGAGGUCAGGAGUUUGCGCGACCAGCCUGAGCAACAUGCGAAACCCCGUCUCUACAAAACAAAUUCAAAAACUAGCCGGGCGUGGUGGCACACGCCUGUAAUCCCAGCACUUUGGGAGGCUGAGGUGGGAAAAUCACUUGAGCUCAGAAGGCAGAGGUUGCGGCAAGUGGAGAUCUGCACUCCAGCUUGGGCACCGAAUUGCCACCAAGGUGCUUGGUCCUUCCGACGAAGCUAAGGCCACAUUGGGGUGAGGCCGUCACUUCAUCCAGCGACUAGCACCACCUCUGGCAAUGUCAGCCCCACACUCGCCCGCGCCAUGGCCUCCAUCUCCGAGCUUGCCUGCGUCUACUUGGCCCUCAUUCUGCACGAUGAUGAGGUGAUCAUCAUGGAGGUUAAUAUCAAUACCCUCAUUAAAGCAGCCAGUGUAAAUGUUGAACCUUUUGGCCUGGCUUGUUUGCAAAGGCCCUGGCCAACGUCAACAUUGGAAGCCUCAUCUGCAAUGUAAGGGCUGGUGGACCUGCUCUAGCAGCUGGUGCUGCACCAGCAGGAGGUCCUGCCCCCUCCAUUGCUGCUGCUUCCGCUGAGGAGAAGAAAAUGGAAGCAAAGAAAGAAGAAUCUGAGGAGUCUGAUGAUGACAUGGGCUUUGGUCUUUUUGACUGAACCUGUUUUAUAAUGUGUUCAAUAAAAAGCUGACUUUACUGCUGUUGGUCUUGCCCAUAGUUUGGGAAUGUGCUCUGCAAAAAUGGUCUCAGUUUUGUAAUGUUGGCUUUUAACCUAUUCUGCCAUGACACAGGCUGGUUUUGCCUGCCGCCGUUGCCUGAUGUGAGAUCUUGGACAAUCCUGAUGCCAACAAGAAGGCACCUCAUGGUACAGUGUUGAAAGCUGAAGUGGGGUGGCAGGAGGAAGGAUCAGAGCAGAUCCUUUGUCCAAGUUACGUAUAAACUUGAUAAUUAUCAAGUAUUAUAAACUUAAUAGAGUCACCAUGCCCAAUUUUUAAUUGUGGUAAAACAUACAGAACAUAAAAUUCCUCUUUCUAACCAUUUUUAAGUGUAUAAUUCAGUGGCAUUAAGUAUAUUCACAAUGUUGUACAAGCAUACUCAGAGUUCUUAACUGUUGUCAACUAAUCAAAAAAUAUUUUGAAUACUUUAGGAACUGAAGUUAUCAAGUUUAUAAUACUUGAUAUAAAUAUCAAGUUUAUAAUAAGUGAUAAACUACACUCUUUAUACUGAUAGACUACACUGGAGGUGGAGGGUAAUACAGACUUCAGCUUUAGAAAGCCUCCUGGGUAAUUACCCUAUACAACCCUGCCUAAGAAUUUUGACCUAUGCUGAAUGUUGACUGCUACAUCCCAAGGUUGUAAAGCAACAAGACCUAGCUAUGUAGUGUCUCAACAAAUGCUUGGAAGUUUUACAGUAACACUGAAGGAGUACAGAAGCUAAACCAUUAAGGUCCCCAGUUACACAAAGUGGAUAAAACAAGAUUCAAACCUGUGUUCCAAAAACUAAGAGCUUUUUUUGUUUGCCAAUUAAUAAUAGCAUGAAUGGAAAUUUUGACUUUUCAGGCUUGGAUUUAUAUAAUAAACUGUGGGUAUUGUG